CCUACGGGAGGCAGCAGUGAGGAAUAUUGGUCAAUGGACGAGAGUCUGAACCAGCCAAGUAGCGUGAAGGAUGACUGCCCUAUGGGUUGUAAACUUCUUUUAUAAAGGAAUAAAACGAGGCACGUGUGCCUUUUUGCAUGUACUUUAUGAAUAAGGAUCGGCUAACUCCGUGCCAGCAGCCGCGGUAAUACGGAGGAUCCGAGCGUUAUCCGGAUUUAUUGGGUUUAAAGGGAGCGUAGAUGGGUUGUUAAGUCAGUUGUGAAAGUUUGCGGCUCAACCGUAAAAUUGCAAUUGAUACUGGCAGUCGUGAGUACAGUUGAGGUAGGCGGAAUGCGUGGUGUAGCGGUGAAAUGCUUAGAUAUCACGAAGAACCCCGAUUGCGAAGGCAGCUUACUAAACUGUGACUGACGUUGAUGCUCGAAAGUGUGGGUAUCAAACAGGAUUAGAUACCCUAGUAGUC
rnacentral:rRNA from 1 species